GCCCGCCUACGGGAGGCAGCAGUAGGGAAUAUUGGGCAAUGGGCGCAAGUCUGAUCCAGCCAUGCCGCGUGGGUGAAGAAGGCCUUCGGGUUGUAAAACCCUUUUGUUAGGGAAGAAAUCCAGCCAGAUUAAACCUUGAUCCCUUGACGGUAUCCAACCAAAAAGCCCCGGCUAACUUCGUGCCAGCAGCCGCGGUAAUACGAAGGGGGCAAGCGUUAUUCGGAAUUAUUGGGCGUAAAGCGAGCGCAGGUGGUUUUUUAAGUCCGAUGUGAAAGCCCCCGGCUCAACCGGGGGGGUCAGUGGAAACUGGGAGACUUGAGUGCAGUAGAGGAGAGUGGAAUUCCAUGUGUAGCGGUGAAAUGCGUAGAUUCAGGAGGAACACCCAUGGCGAAGGCGGCUCUCUGGUCCAACACUGACACUGAGGCUCGAAAGCGUGGGGAGCAAACAGGAUUAGAUACCCUGGUAGUCCACGCCGUAAACGAUGAGAACUGAGUGUUGGGUGCAUCCGCC
rnacentral:rRNA from 1 species